GACGAACGCUGGCGGCGUGCCUAAUACAUGCAAGUAGAACGCUGAAGGAGGAGCUUGCUCUUCUGGAUGAGUUGCGAACGGGUGAGUAACGCGUAGGUAACCUGCCUGGUAGUGGGGGAUAACUAUUGGAAACGAUAGCUAAUACCGCAUAAUAACAGUUGUUGCAUGACAACUGUUUGAAAGGCGCAAUUGCAUCACUACCAGAUGGACCUGCGUUGUAUUAGCUAGUUGGUGGGGUAACGGCUCACCAAGGCGACGAUACAUAGCCGACCUGAGAGGGUGAUCGGCCACACUGGGACUGAGACACGGCCCAGACUCCUACGGGAGGCAGCAGUAGGGAAUCUUCGGCAAUGGACGAAAGUCUGACCGAGCAACGCCGCGUGAGUGAAGAAGGUUUUCGGAUCGUAAAGCUCUGUUGUAAGAGAAGAACGAGUGUGAGAGUGGAAAGUUCAC
rnacentral:rRNA from 1 species